AGUGAACGCUGGCGGUAGGCCUAACACAUGCAAGUCGAACGGCAGCACAGUAAGAGCUUGCUCUUACGGGUGGCGAGUGGCGGACGGGUGAGGAAUACAUCGGAAUCUACUUUUUCGUGGGGGAUAACGUAGGGAAACUUACGCUAAUACCGCAUACGACCUACGGGUGAAAGCAGGGGAGCUUCGGACCUUGCGCGAUUGAAUGAGCCGAUGUCGGAUUAGCUAGUUGGCGGGGUAAAGGCCCACCAAGGCGACGAUCCGUAGCUGGUCUGAGAGGAUGAUCAGCCAAACUGGAACUGAGACACGGUCCAGCCUCCUACGGGAGGCAGCAGUGGGGAAUAUUGGACAAUGGGCGCAAGCCUGAUCCAGCAAUACCGCGUGGGUGAAGAAGGCCUUCGAGUUGUAAAGCCCUUUUGUUGGGAAAGAAAAGCAGCAGGUUAAUACCCCGCUGUUCUGACGGUACCCAAAGAAUAAGCACCGGCUAACUUCGUG
rnacentral:rRNA from 1 species